UCGCCGUCAUUCAUCCUCGUCGACUCGUCAUCUCCUUAGCUUCUCCUUCCUCUUCAGGAGCAUGGAAAAGGUGAGCGUUGUGGUUAGGUUUGAUGGAACAUGGACAACUUCAGCUGAUGGGCGUUAUGCUUAUGAUGGUGGUCCGCACGACUGGAAUGAGAGUUGUGAAGGGGAUCGCAUACAAACGUUUUGUGGAAGACCAUUAAUGAAAAUUUUAUUUAAUUGAUUCUGCUGAUAAUUUUGGUGACAAUACAAGAGAAAGUCUCCGUAGAAGACUUGAAAAGUUGUUGGUUGUGAGAUCCGUCCACCCAAAUCAGUUUUGCAGAAAUAUAAGUAAAAUGAAUGAAUUGGACAAAAAACUCAAAUCAUUGCAGAAACAAACUGCAAAGGAUGAAAAUUCACUG